CUUUGCUAACUCUAGAGUCUCUAAAUUGUUUUCUGCUAUGUUUUCUCACUUGUGUUUCUUACUGCAGGUAAAGGCCUUUUUAUACUAAAAGAUGAAAUCAUGAGAACCUAUAUGUAGACUAGCCACCUCAUGCUUAGCUCAGUCAGUUAGAUAAACAUUGGGAGCAGCUUAUUGCCAGCUCCUGCUUAGAAAAAACAUCUGAAAGUUAUCCCAAACUGCCAGCUCAUGCUUUGAGCUUGUUGCCCAAGUUUUAAGCUGCUCUAAGAGCAGCCACUUGCUGCACACACUUAACUUUAUGCCUGCAGGUUCUUACUUGUGGUUAGAAGUGUGUAUACAUGUGUUUCUAAUAAGCUACUAGGUUUUAAUAGAACUUCCAGCUAAAGAAAAAUCAAGAAGAAGGAGCAUAAUAAGCUAAGCAUUUGCUGGAAAUUUUGGUACAUUUGCAAGAAGUAAUGGCAGCAAAUCAAGGAAGCUAUAAUUUCAAAUCAUAAAUAAGAAAUUGAUGUAUUGUGACAUUUGGAAACAUGUAGUAAUGUAAAUAUAGUACUUGUAGCCAUCUAUGUAACCUUUAUUGAAACCUAAGCACAAGUUGUACUUUUUUCUUUUCUUUUCUUUUUGACAAAGAAUGUAAACAGGUAAAUGUUUGCUUUUGUUUGUAAGAAACACUUGUGUUCUACUCUAGCAUUUUGUUAACAAAAGCUAGUUGGUUUUUGAGUUAUAAAAACAAAUAAACCAAAAUCAGCAGGGAUCAAA